AUUUAUAAUUUAAUUAAAGUAUAAAUUUUAAUAUAUAAAUAAUAAUCGUAAUAAAAAUAUUAUUCAUGUUAACUUAAAUAGGCCGGCCUAGUAGGCCUCAAAGGCUUUUUUAAUGGCCUGCGGCCUGGCCUUUUUAGCUAAAUAGGCUUAUAAAAAAGCAUUGGCCUGCUCUAUUUAAAGAAAUAGGCUGAUCUGGCCUGAGCCUAUGUAGGCUAGGCCUUAAGGCCAUGUAGGCCGGCCUGGCCUGUUCCCACCUCUA
rnacentral:lncRNA from 1 species